rnacentral:hammerhead_ribozyme from 1 species
AUCCGGCUGACGAGCCCCAAAUAGGACGAAUUGUUGCGUGUCCCGGAU